UACGUAGGGUGCAAGCGUUGUCCGGAAUUAUUGGGCGUAAAGAGCUCGUAGGCGGCUUGUCGCGUCGGAUGUGAAAGCCCGGGGCUUAACUCCGGGUCUGCAUUCGAUACGGGCAGGCUAGAGUUCGGUAGGGGAGAUCGGAAUUCCUGGUGUAGCGGUGAAAUGCGCAGAGUAUCAGGAGGAACACCGGUGGCGAAGGCGGAUCUCUGGGCCGAUACUGACGCUGAGGAGCGAAAGCGUGGGGAGCGAACAGG
rnacentral:rRNA from 1 species